rnacentral:rRNA from 1 species
UUUAACGUCCAUAUCAUGUUGAAUACACCGGUUCUCUUCCGAUCACCGAAAUCAAGCAACAUCGGGCGUGGUCAGUACUUGGAUGGGUUGAUCAUCAUAUAGUUUAAAAA